GACGAACGCUGGCGGCGUGCUUAACACAUGCAAGUCGAACGGAAAGGCCCUGCUUUUGUGGGGUGCUCGAGUGGCGAACGUGUGAGUAACACGUGAGUAACCUUCCCUUUACUUUGGGAUAACUUCAGGAAACUGGGGCUAAUACCGGAUAGGAGCUCCUGCUGCAUGGUGGGGUUUGGAAAGUUUCGGCGGUUGGGGAUGGACUCGCGGCUUAUCAGCUUGUUGGUGGGGUAGUGGCUUACCAAGGCUUUGACGGGUAGCCGGCCUGAGAGGGUGACCGGCCACAUUGGGACUGAGAUACGGCGCAGACUCCUACGGGAGGCAGCAGGGGGGAAUAUUGCACAAUGGGCGGAAGCCUGAUGCAGCAACGCCGCGUGCGGGAUGAAGGCCUUCGGGUGGUAAACCGCUUUCGCCUGUGACGAAGCGUGAGUGACGGUAAUGGGUAAAGAAGCACCGGCUAACUACGUG
rnacentral:rRNA from 1 species